rnacentral:lncRNA from 1 species
CGCUCUCAAUAAAUAUAAGUUCGCCGUCAUUUUGUCAAAAUCAUCGUGGUAGAAGCAAACAAUAUAGACCCUGUCUAGAGGAAAUAUUCAUCUCCAAUUUGUGAAGGAGAAAAUGCAAGCGAGUAAUUCACCCACAUCAUGUUUUUAAGAUAAAAGUGAAUCCUAUAAUUAGUAGAGCCCAACUGAAUUACUAUCCUUACUAACUAAUAUUUACAUUCAUCCCAAUUGUUACCCGUUCUUAGUUAUGAUGGAAUAAUGAUUCCAGCAACAAAUAAAAGUUCACUAUAACGCGCACCAAGAGUGACUCAAAAUAGCAGUCUCCUCCCAAGCUUGUGCAUGGGGAAAAGAUAAAUUUUCACGGCUAUCUGCAAUAUUUGAUGCAAGACUUUGUAGCUUAUAUCAAUGGUAUAGCUGCAACAUUUUUACCUUGUGUACGUCAUUCAAACAGUUAGCCUCUUGUAUCAAUAGUAUAGCUGCAAGAUUUUACCUUGUGUCAUCCAAACAGUUAGUCAGAAGCAACUGGGCUAACUCAAGCUAACAACAACUUGAUAGAAUAUCAAUACCUAAUGAAUAUUGUAGAAGGAAUAAUCACCGAUCAAUGUAAUCAAGAACUCAAGAAGAAAAACAAAUGUGCAUGUAGACAGGAUAGUCUUUGAUUAUUAGUAGGGGCUUGGCAUCAGGUUUCCUAACCUACCUAAGACACAAAGAUUAAGCAACUCACAACAAUGAAACUCAACUUAAACUCCACAAAAUCCUACAACUAAUAGGAAUACUUGAGGAGAUAACAAACCUUCAAGAAUUGUUCAGCUAAAAGUGUAUAGGUUCAUCAAAGUUUUAGCUCAUUCAACGGUCCUUCUUAAAGUGCUCCAGUUGAAUUCUUUUUAGUAUUGAGAAUAAGCUAAGAAGGAAGACAAAGAAUUUAAGGCAACAAAGUUACUGAUCUCAAUAGAAAAUUAGUGAUUGAAAAUGACAAGUUCAACUAAUAAAAAACUACCGAGCUGAAUAUCUAACAUGAGAUUUGCCUUAUAUAUACAUACAUGUAGGAAAGGUAAAAAAUAAAUAAAAGACAAACAUAC